AAGUCGUAACAAGGUUUCCGUAGGUGAACCUGCGGAAGGAUCAUAAACAACCCUGUGAACUUUAAGCCUACUCUUGCAGCCCAUGAGGAACAGCAAUCCCGGUAAAUCAUUGCCAAACAGUUUUGAUUCGGGACCUCUGUCCAAAAGGAGUUGCAAUUGAGUGGUCCUCACGGUUGCCAGAGGUCGAUCACCGACCGGCAGACAUGUCACAGGGCCACCGCGCCCCUUAAUCACUCCACUAGAAAAUGCCCCGCCUAGUGGUAACGCGCUAGGUAAAAAAAACCGAACAACUGUUGCCAAUGGAUAUCUUGUUCUC
rnacentral:misc_RNA from 1 species